rfam:Roseburia sp. CAG:45 genomic scaffold, scf93
UGAUAAGGGCUGUUAGGGGCGCUGGGAAUUUCGUCUGGCAACAGGCAACGCUGGUACAUGGAUGUACCAGCGAGGCACAACUGAACAUGGAUGUGAAUUUGUGCCGGUUGCCAGAUGAAAAUAGAAUUAUGCCGAAAUUUCCAGUGCCCCUUGCAGGCUUUAUGU